rnacentral:rRNA from 1 species
GACGAACGCUGGCGGCGUGCUUAACACAUGCAAGUCGAGCGGUAAGGCCCUUUCGGGGGUACGACGAGCGGCGAACGGGUGAGUAACACGUGGGUGACCUGCCCUUAGCUCUGGGAUAAGCCUGGGAAACUGGGUCUAAUACCGGAUAUGACUCCAUAACGCAUGUUGUGGGGUGGAAAGCCUUGUGCGGCUAGGGAUGGGCCCGCGGCCUAUCAGCUUGUUGGUGGGGUGAUGGCCACCAAGGCGACGACGGGUAGCCGGCCUGAGAGGGCGACCGGCCACACUGGGACUGAGACACGGCCCAGACUCCUACGGGAGGCAGCAGUGGGGAAUCUUGCGCAAUGGGCGAAAGCCUGACGCAGCGACGCCG